rnacentral:rRNA from 1 species
UACAGAGGGUGCGAGCGUUAAUCGGAAUUACUGGGCGUAAAGCGUGCGCAGACGGUCAUGUAAGUCGGGUGUGAAAGCCCCGGGCUCAACCUGGGAAUUGCAUUCGAGACUGUGUGGCUAGAGUCCGGAAGAGGCGAGUGGAAUUCCUGGUGUAGCGGUGGAAUGCGCAGAUAUCAGGAGGAACACCGAUGGCGAAGGCAGCUCGCUGGGACGGUACUGACGCUGAGGCGCGAAAGCGUGGGGAGCGAACAGG